rnacentral:rRNA from 1 species
GAUGACGCUGACAGAAUGCUUAACACAUGCAAGUCAACUGGUGGCGGACGGGUGAGUAAUGUCUGGGAAACUGCCUGAUGGAGGGGGAUAACUACUGGAAACGGUAGCUAAUACCGCAUACCAUCAGAUGUGCCCAGAUGGGAUUAGCUAGUAGGUGGGGUAACGGCUCACCUAGGCGACGAUCCCUAGCUGGUCUGAGAGGAUGACCAGCCACACUGGAACUGAGACACGGUCCAGACUCCGACGGGAGGCAGCAGUGGGGAAUAUUGCACAAUGGGCGCAAGCCUGAUGCAGCCAUGCCGCGUGUGUGAAGAAGGCCUUCGGGUUGUAAAGUUCUUUCGGUAUUGAGGCGUUAAAUACAGAAGAAGCACCGGCUAACUCCGUGCCAGCCGCCGCGGUAAUAC